ACCCUGCCCCACAUGGUCAUCCCAACUCCACAUGAGGUACCUCUCUAGACCUGGCUUACUGAGGAUGCAUACCUUUCCCCAGCAGAUAAUAGAGAUAGAAGCAUUGAAGAAAAG